CGGAGUAGGAAAUAAAGCGUCAAGUGCCGGUGGAACGCAAUGUGAACACCGGACGAAGGGCAAUUGGCCCGCGAUUUUAUUUCCGCAUUGGCCG
rnacentral:ncRNA from 20 species